rnacentral:rRNA from 1 species
AUUGCCUCAGUAACGGCGAGUGAAGCGGCAACAGCUCAAAUUUGAAAUCUGGCUCUCGGGCCCGAGUUGUAAUUUGUAGAGGAUGCUUUUGGUGCGGUGCCUUCCGAGUUCCCUGGAACGGGACGCCAUAGAGGGUGAGAGCCCCGUCUGGUUGGAUGCCAAUCCUCUGUAAAGCUCCUUCGACGAGUCGAGUAGUUUGGGAAUGCUGCUCUAAAUGGGAGGUAUAUGUCUUCUAAAGCUAAAUACCGGCCAGAGACCGAUAGCGCACAAGUAGAGUGAUCGAAAGAUGAAAAGAACUUUGAAAAGAGAGUUAAAAAGUACGUGAAAUUGUUGAAAGGGAAGCGCUUGUGACCAGACUUGGGCUUGGUUGAUCAUCCAGGGUUCUCCCUGGUGCACUCUUCCGGCCCAGGCCAGCAUCAGUUUGCCCCGGGGGAUAAAGGCGUCGGGAAUGUGGCUCCCUCCGGGGAGUGUUAUAGCCCGGCGCGCAAUACCCUGAGGCGGACUGAGGUUCGCGCAUUCGCAAGGAUGCUGGCGUAAUGGUCAUCAGUGACCCGUCUUGAAACACGGACCAAGGAGUCGUCUUCGUAUGCGAGUGUUCGGGUGUCAAACCCCUACGCGUAAUGAAAGUGAACGCAGGUGAGAGCUUCGGCGCAUCAUCGACCGAUCCUGAUGUUUUCGGAUGGAUUUGAGUAAGAGCAUACGGGGCCGGACCCGAAAGAAGGUGAACUAUGCCUGUAUAGGGUGAAGCCAGAGGAAACUCUGGUGGAGGCUCGCAGCGGUUCUGACGUGCAAAUCGAUCGUCAAAUAUGGGCAUGGGGGCGAAAGACUAAU